rnacentral:ncRNA from 1 species
UUGUCUAGCGCAGGUCGCGACGAGUAGGAAGGAACGGGGCGGGUGCGUUGAAGGCUAUGAGGUAGGCUCGGCGGGAGCUUCCGUCAGUGCAGAUCGUAAUGGUAGUAGCAAAUAUUCAAGUUCGAUCCUUGAAGACUGAAGUGGAGAAGGGUUCCACGUGAACAGUAGUUGGAUGUGGGUCAGUCGAUCCUAAGGUACUGGCGAAAGCCUUGUAUCAUCGGUGGCGAAAAAGCUUGCUUUUUGUCCCCGCCCGUCGAAAGGGAAUAGGGUUAAUAUUCCCUAAAUGAGAUGCAAAGAUUGUGUUCUUCGGAGCACAAGCGCGGUAACGCGUUCGAACUUGGUAAGUCGCUCAGAGACCGAGCUAGAGUUUUCUUCUCUAGUUAAGGAACGGACUCCCUGGAAUUGGUUCAGCCAGAGAUGGGGACGUUGUUUCCGAAAAGCACCGCGGUUUCUGUGGUGUCUCGUGCUCUCUGAACGGCCCUUUAAACACCAAGGGAGGCUAUUAAUUUGCACUCAAUCGUACCGAUAUCCGCAUUAGGUCUCCAAGGUGAACAGCCUCUAGUCGAUAGAAUAAUGUAGGUAAGGGAAGUCGGCAAACUAGAUCCGUAACUUCGGGAAAAGGAUUGGCUCCAGUGGUCGGAACGGUUGGCCAGUUGGUUGAUGCUUGUCCGGCGCUGUUCUGUCUGCUUGAUGCUUUCGGGCUGAUGGCGGCCUAGUGAUAGUGCUUGCUUGUUGACGCUUUCUGGUGUGUGCUUUGACCUCGGUCUUAGUAUCCUGAUCGUUCAUCUAAACGACUAAACUGGAACCGGUACGGACUCAGGGAAUCCGACUGUCUAAUUAAAACAGAGGUGACAGAUGGUCCUUGCGGACGCUGACUGUCACUGAUUUCUGCCCAGUGCUCUGAAUGUUAAAUCGUAGUAAUUCGAGUAAGCGCGGGUAAACGGCGGGAGUAACUAUGACUCUCUUAAGGUAGCCAAAUGCCUCGUCAUUUAAUUGUUGACGCGCAUGAAUGGAUUAACGAGAUUCCUACUGUCCCUAACUACUAUCUAGCGAAACCACAGCCAAGGGAACGGGCUUGGCAAAAAUAGCGGGGAAAGAAGACCCUGUUGAGCUUGACUCUAGUUUGACAUUGUGAAGAGUCAUGAGAGGUGUAGCAUAGGUGGGAGU